UACUAUGGCCAAGAUGUCUUGCAGCGCUC
rnacentral:piRNA from 1 species